rnacentral:rRNA from 1 species
AUUGAACGCUGGCGGCAUGCUUUACACAUGCAAGUCGAACGGCAGCGCGGGCUUCGGCCUGGCGGCGAGUGGCGAACGGGUGAGUAAUACAUCGGAACGUGCCCAGUAGUGGGGGAUAGCUCGGCGAAAGCCGGAUUAAUACCGCAUACGACCUGAGGGUGAAAGCGGGGGAUCUUCGGACCUCGCGCUAUUGGAGCGGCCGAUGGCAGAUUAGCUAGUUGGUGGGGUAAAGGCCUACCAAGGCGACGAUCUGUAGCUGGUCUGAGAGGACGACCAGCCACACUGGGACUGAGACACGGCCCAGACUCCUACGGGAGGCAGUAGUGGGGAAUUUUGGACAAUGGGCGAAAGCCUGAUCCAGCAAUGCCGCGUGUGUGAUGAAGGCCUUCGGGUUGUAAAGCACUUUUGGCGGGAACGAAAAGGACUGUGCCAAUACCACGGUUCGAUGACGGUACCCGCAGAAUAAGCACCGGCUAACUACGUG